rnacentral:tRNA from 1 species
CAAGAGGUGGUUUAGAUUUAAAAUGAUAACAUUGGAAGUUAUUGAGCAAACUAUGUUUGUCUUUUGA